GAUGAACGCUGGCGGCGUGCCUAAUACAUGCAAGUCGAGCGGACGGACGAUAAGCUUGCUUCUCUGAUGUUAGCGGCGGACGGGUGAGUAACACGUGGAUACCCUCCCUAUAAUACUGGUAUAACUUCGGGAAACCGGCGCUAAUACCGGAUAAUAUUUUGCACCGCAUGGUUCAAAAGUGAAAGACGGUCUUGCUGUCACUUCUCGAUGGAUCCGCGCUGCAUUAGCUAGUUGGUAAGGUAACGGCUUACCAAGGCAACGAUGCAUAGCCGACAGGAGAGGAGGAGCGGCCACACUGGAACGGAGACAAGGCACAGACGAAUACGGGAGGCGGCAGUAGGGAAACGGCAGGAAGGGGAGAAAGACUGACGGAGAAAAGCCGAGUGAGUGAUGAAGGUCUUCGGAUAGGAAAAGUCGGUUAUUAGGGAAGAACAUAUGUGUAAGUAACUGGGAACAUCUUGAAGGUAAAUAAUCAGAAAGCCACGGCUAACUAAGUG
rnacentral:rRNA from 1 species